CCUACGGGAGGCAGCAGUAGGGAAUCUUUCACAAUGGGCGAAAGCCUGAUGGAGCAACGCCGCGUGCAGGAUGAAGGCCUUCGGGUUGUAAACUGCUUUUAUAAGCGAGAAAUAUGAUGGUAACUUAUGAAUAAGGAUCGGCUAACUACGAGCCAGCAGCCGCGGUCAUACGUAGGAUCCGAGCAUUAUCCGGAGUGACUGGGUGUAAAGAGUUGCGUAGGUGGCAUAAUAAGUAGCUAGUGAAAUCUGGUGGCUCAACCAUUCAGACUAUUAGCUAAACUGUUAAGCUCGAGACCGUUAGGGGUAACUGGAAUUUCUAGUGUAGGAGUGAAAUGCGUAGAUAUUAGAAGGAACACCAAUAGCGUAGGCAGGUUACUGGGACGGUUCUGACACUAAGGCACGAAAGCGUAGGGAGCAAACGGGAUUAGAUACCCCAGUAGUC
rnacentral:rRNA from 1 species